GGGUGGGGGAGGACCGGGAAGGAGAGGGCGCCCUGCUCUGCCCUUGGGCUGCGCCUCUGUGAGCCAGAGCACGGGAGAGGCAGGAAUUCCCUCUCCUGCCACCACCAUAAAAUGCGGGAAUGUUUCUGGAUGGCUGCGAGGAGUCCUGCCUGGCCCUCAGGAGUCACCCUUUGUACGGCCCCCCGGCUCAUCACGCUCCCCGCCGGCGCGGGCAGCCCCGACGCACGGGAAUGCCCCUGCGGGGCCGCGCAGCUCCUUAAGUAGCAGCGUGCGGCAGCGGCCCCGGCCCGCGUUCUGCUGUCUUCCCGGGACUCCUGCGGCGGGCGUGACGCCAGCCAUGCCGAAGGCAGCCCCGCUCCUCCUAGCCUUGCUGGCCCCGCUGCUGGCCUUCCCCACCAGAGCACCAGAUUUCACCAGAUCUUAUACAGAGAAAGCAGCAGCAAAGAUAGUUGAUGUCAGCUCUUCUGUGAAAGAAACGACUACAGAAAAGAGGGCUUUCCUGGGUAUCACUGCCUUUAUCAAUGAAGACUUCACCAUAAAGACAACACGUGGAAUGAGCAUCAGUGGAAGCAGAGGCAGGAGUGAAUACAGUGAGCCCAGCAUCAUCUCCACAGAGCAAUAUAUGUUCAACAGAACACCAGUUGAGCACAACAUCAAUAUGAAUGAAAAAUCUGUGACUGGAGGCCCACAGGGAUCAUCUAUGUCAAGGAAAAUGUAAGAGGAAAAGAUCAGCCUUCCUUAUUGUCUUUUGUAAAAUGGGUUUCAGUUCACUUCCAAAAGGAAAACAUUAACAUCCAUAAAUCUCAAGCUGAGGAACAGCGCUUUGCCGCACACGGCCACACUGACUAAUUGGAGUCAGAAGCAGGGUCUGGUUCUUCAGAGCUUCAGCUCAGACAUCUGCUUGGGGAGCCAGAGCAAAGCCUGCACAGCACGAAACUGCACACUGCGGGAGGGCUGCACAGCUAUUUACUGACAGCAGCUCAGAGGUACAUGGGAGAGUACAGAUGGGAGAGUCUCCUGACCACAGACACUGGUGAAAGGGCCACCAUGACCUGGAGGAGGUGCCACAGCAAGAACAUCCCACUCAGCGCUCCUGGCCGAAUGCGCUGCCAUGUGUGCAGGAGCGAUGCACACAGCACACACACCAAGAGCUGCAGCACGCUUGGUGCCACCUCCCUGGGGCACCUACCGAUAAUUUUUCAGUUGAACUCCUGCAAGUCUCUACUGAGCACGUGCUAAAGACAUUUCUUCACAGCCUCAUUACUUAGUGGAAUUUGCUUUUGUAGAGUUUUUUUUUUUUUUUUUUUUUUUGGGGGGGGGGGGAUUUCUCUUCUCCCCCCAAGCAGGAACUAUAAAACACACACCUCUAUCACUGCUACACUUCAGCUUUCUGUUCAAAGGCACAGAGUCACUGAAAUUUAUAAGACUAAGUCCUAAAACAAAUUCAAAUGAGGGAAAACAAAGUAUUUUCCCCUCAUUUUCAGAACAUAUCUCAGUAUCUUCUGCUCAACUUUUCAAACAAAAAGUACAAAUUUUAGCCCAAACUAUCACAGUUUGGCCGGGUUAUAAGCAACUUAAAAUCUACAUGUUAGACUGGUAUUUGCACUACCUGCAAUGUUAGAAGAAAGUUGCUGAUGUACUAUGCACCAAUUAAUUGAGAGGCCUGAACGUAAUCUUUAGAAAUAGCUAAGAUACCUUUUUGUAAAAAUAAUGCAUUUUCUGCAAACUGUGUUCACUCUUCACUCCUCUAAACUUUACAAAAUAGUUAUUUACAACUUAGCUGAUAUAGCUGAUAUAGGAAGUGUUUGGAAAAUGUAGGGAUGUGGAAAUUAGUCUCCACAAACAAGAAGUAUAACUUUUAUUACCCAAGCUGGCAGAUUAAUUUAUUCCAAUAUAAUUUUUGAAAAGAGAUGGAAUAUUGAAGAAAAGGAAAUGUGUUAUCAAUUGUCAACAAGGGAAGGAAAAUGAGAUGGGAAAUGACCACCUUAUGUUGGUGCAAGGCAGGGGUGGGAGGGCACCACCUCAGGCAGGGAUGGAUACACAAAUACAAUGCACACAGGGAUCGUUAGAAGGCAUUUAUUACCUCUGUGUCUAUGCGGGGGUUCCCCAGUGUUAUCCCGAUCGAGGCAAUAAGAAGACAGGAGAAUCCCUGGCACCGCUGAGCGUAGGUCCAUGGCGAGGAACCUGGGCAGGGGGAACUAAUAGGUUUUUAUGCAACAGGCACAUGCGCAAUAAGCAGAAUUACAUUAUGAUCGUGAAAUGGUUGUUUGAUAAUAUAGCCACUAAAGCAUGCCAAGCUUGGGGUUGUAACAGAUAAGAUGUGCAGGACAGUUUACACUGUUUCUUUUCCCUCCUGGGACAGUCUGGCUAGUUCCCAUCGCCUAUCUCCUUGACAUUCUUCCGCAUUACUCUAUACACCUUAUAAUCCUUGUAUUUUUCAUUAUUAAAAUAACUGAAAAAAUGUUGAGGAAAAUAUUGCCAAAUUUCUACAAAAGAAUGAAAUAAAGUAUAGUACAUUCCCCA
rnacentral:lncRNA from 1 species